rnacentral:rRNA from 1 species
AUGCCCAAGAGAGGGAGGUGGUCUGGUGUGGGGAAGGUUGAGUAUGAGGCGAAGAAGGUAAGGAUUGCAUUGUUAAAAGAACAGGUAGCCCGGUUAGAGAGAGUGGUUGCGCUGGAGAAAGAGAGAGCAAAAGAGACCAACCAACGCUUUGAGAAGGCCAAGGAAGAGAGCUCUGGAACUGUGGCCAGGUAUCUCUUCAUGAAUGAAGAGGAUCUUAGCCUUGAGGAGUGCAAGGAGUACUGCCAAGAGCUCAUGCGGAUCAACCAAGAAAUUGCAAAUCGAUUGUCCUUAGAGUCCGUGGGCUCAAAUGUGCCAGCACUGCAGCUGCACUUGUCUUCAGUCGAAUCACAAACUAAGGAAGAAAAGUAG